ensembl:lncRNA
GAAAUGUAAGAUUUGGCUAUUUUUCCCUUUUGAAAAAACAGCAUGGGUUUGUGUGUACAAGGGAGAAGCUAAAAUGAUGCAGAGUUAUCCAGGAAAACUGCUGGGAUACAGAGGCUCGGAUUCGAGGUAUGGACAAGUAUGGUAAAGACAGUGAUGCAAAAUUUAAUCCAAUUCAGAUGGUCAAGGUGUAAUAAUAUACAAAUUUAUUAAAAAGAAUAUAGAGAACAGAAACCACAAAUCAUAACUUGGAAAUAAAGUUCCGGAUAAUAAUAACAACCUUCAAAUAUAAAAAAUGUAAAUCCAAUGUUAGUACAUUUUUAAUAACAAUCCAUUUAUGACGGAUUGAACCCAACCAGUAUUAAUCAAAACAUUAAUACAAUUGUAAUUAAAACAUAAACAAUUAUUCUGUUCGAAUCACAAGUACCAAAAUAUUAAGUAUUAAAAUAUUAAAAUAUCAAAGUAUCAGAGUAUCAAAGUAUCUGAAUUUCAAGGUAUCUGAAUUUGAAUAAAAACCUGUAAGAGUUCUAAGUCUGAGUCUAAGAGUUGUCGAGUGAAGCCAAAGAAGAGGAAGUGAGCUGAAAAGAUAGAGAGACCAGAGUCUCAGAAAGUCAAAAACCCUAUUCUAUUUUGCAGAGUCUAUCUUAUAUACUGUUGUUCUAGACAUAAGUCGUCAUCUGGCUAUCACUAAUAACACCUGACCUUUAAAAAUAGUCUAGUCAAUGUCUCGAUUUUGGACUUCUUCCUCUUUUAGAUUCAAAGUAUCAUACUGAUAAUUCUAAGAAAUAUUGAUACAAAAGAACAAUACAUGCAGUUCAACUUCAUAUGCAAAACAGACUCAGCUGACUACGCAGUUAGAAAUACUGUGAAAUUACAUAUGAAAUAUACCAUAACAAAGAUCUUCACCAAGAUGGCCAGACGAGAACUCCUAAGGAAAUUCGACCCCUGGCGUCCCCUGGACUUUUGCUGGGUUGAGGACUUACCACAGCCUUCCAUCUUUCCCAACUCUAAACUCUAUCAUCGUUCUUUCUCUUCUUGCCCUUGGGAGAUAGUAGUUGAAGAUAUUUGUCCUUAUGGUACCAUGUCGUUAAUUUCCAAACUUUCGUUGAUCGUUUUCAACAUCUCAUACCUUUCCUUACCCUUUACCUGCAAGGUAUAGAUUUCCUCAUCACUACUGGUAUAAAUGGGAGAAUAAGGAUCUCUUUGAUCAAUGAUCUUGAAAGGCAUCUUAAUCAUUUUAAUGUAGCAAUUUAUAAAUAUAUAAAUCAGCUGUGACAGACUUAGCACAGGUUUCUCAGAUGGCGUAGAGUUAACGAGUCAUGUGAUGAUGAUGCAUCCAGUUCUUAGGAUGAACACUACUGUCCAGCCACGAGCACUGCAACCACUCCCAGAAUGUCAAUGAGCUGCACUGUUGCAGAAGUCACAUCAAAG